rnacentral:rRNA from 1 species
ACAUGCAAGUCGAGCGGAUUGAUGGGAGCUUGCUCCCUGAAGUCAGCGGCGGACGGGUGAGUAACACGUGGGUAACCUGCCUGUAAGACUGGGAUAACUCCGGGAAACCGGGGCUAAUACCGGAUAGUUCUUUUCCUCGCAUGAGGAAAAGUGGAAAGGCGGCUUCGGCUGCCACUUACAGAUGGACCCGCGGCGCAUUAGCUAGUUGGUGAGGUAACGGCUCACCAAGGCAACGAUGCGUAGCCGACCUGAGAGGGUGAUCGGCCACACUGGGACUGAGACACGGCCCAGACUCCUACGGGAGGCAGCAGUAGGGAAUCUUCCGCAAUGGACGAAAGUCUGACGGAGCAACGCCGCGUGAGUGAUGAAGGUUUUCGGAUCGUAAAGCUCUGUUGUUAGGGAAGAACAAGUGCCGUUCGAAUAGGGCGGCACCUUGACGGUACCUAACCAGAAAGCCACGGCUAACUACGUGCCAGCAGCCGCGGUAAUACGUAGGUGGCAAGCGUUGUCCGGAAUUAUUGGGCGUAAAGCGCGCGCAGGCGGUCUCUUAAGUCUGAUGUGAAAGCCCACGGCUCAACCGUGGAGGGUCAUUGGAAACUGGGGGACUUGAGUACAGAAGAGGAAAGU